rnacentral:rRNA from 1 species
GRACGAACGCUGGCGGCAGGCUUAACACAUGCAAGUCGAACGCACCUUUCGGGGUGAGUGGCAGACGGGUGAGUAACGCGUGGGAAUCUACCCUUCUCUACGGGAUAGCUCCGGGAAACUGGAAUUAAUACCGUAUACGUCCUGAGGGAGAAAGAUUUAUCGGGGAAGGAUGAGCCCGCGUUGGAUUAGCUAGUUGGUGGGGUAAAGGCCUACCAAGGCGACGAUCCAUAGCUGGUCUAAGAGGAUGAUCAGCCACAUUGGGACUGAGACACGGCCCAAACUCCUACGGGAGGCAGCAGUGGGGAAUAUUGGACAAUGGGCGCAAGCCUGAUCCAGCCAUGCCGCGUGAGUGAUGAAGGCCCUAGGGUUGUAAAGCUCUUUCAGUGGGGACGAUAAUGACGGUACCCACAGAAGAAGCCCCGGCUAACUUCGU